GUGAUUUAAGUUGUCUUCAUUUAAAAAGACGUAAAUACUAAGGAUUAGAUCCAAUCACUACACACUGUUAAAAAAAACAAUAUCUCUGCUCUGUGGUUUCCUUCGUGUGUUACCAUGGCGACUGCUGCCGGGUUGUGAAGCUAGUCGGUAUCCAGACGAAGGCGAUGGUGGCUUAAACUAAACCAAAUCGAUCUCGACAUGGACGAUUGCGUGCAAUUGGGUGAAAGUGGCCCAGUUAAAAACUUGGCAAAAUCUGGCCGGAGAUCCCGCCUCGCAGCAGACCAAUCACUUGGAGAUGUCCGCAACUCCAAGAAGUCCUCCACAUCUGCUUCUGCUGGAGACGACCCUCCUCCCAAACCGCCAAGGAGGCAAGGCGGCUGGGCAGAAGAAAGCUCCGGAUCCGGUCCCGGCAAAUCUUCAAGAAGAGCAGCUGCAGACGACCUGGAAGACCGCCGGCUGAGACCACAAACUCCCCAAGGAUCGGAUGAUGAUGGAGAUAUUCCAGUCAUUCCAGACUUGGAUGAAGUGCAGGAAGAAGAUCUCAACAUGCAAGUAGCAGCUCCACCGAGUAUUCAAGUCAACCGGGUAAUGACCUACAGAGACCUGGACAACGAUCUGAAAUAUUACUCUGCAUUCCAGACUCUCGAUGGAGAGAUCGACUUGAAGCUUCUCACAAAGGUUUUAGCACCAGAGCAGGACGUGAAGGAGGAAGAUGUGCUCUGGGACUGGGAUCAUCUGUUUACAGAGGUGUCCUCGGAGCUGCUCACGGAAUGGGAUCAAGGAGAGAAUGACGAGCAGGCUUCGUAACCCACAACUUGAGCAUAGAGUCAGGACUGAAUAGCCCGUGGAAGAACACAAUGCCACGCUGGGGGUGGAUCUGGCCUUUCGAAACGAGGAUGCAUGGACAGAUCUGCGGUUGGCUUUCAGGAGGGGCUGGAAGUAGUCCCACAACACCUCUCAAGUGUGUGAAUGAGAAGGAGUCGGGACAGGAAGAGAGCACAGGCUCCACCACUGAGGUGCUGACAAAGGGACCGAGGGAGACGACACUGCACCUGUUCCAACUGGACCCGCCUCGCAGGGGGGCUCGACAAAAUCCCUGCCUUCUCCUGGCAUCUGUGAUGGGCUGAGGCAGGCCGUGUCUCAUCUCUGGCGCUUGCUCCAGCGCUUGCUCUCUUUUUUUUUUUUUUUAUUUGCAGGAGAGGAGAAACGCUGGAGGCUCCAUCUGCCGAGGGGUCGCCAUAGCCUCUGCAUCCUGCCUGGGGAGAAGAGUUGCUGGGCCUCGGUGACUCUGCCACGGGGGUCUUGAUGUAGUUUACCAUCAAGUGGCACAUCAGACGUCAUAGACCAGCUGGCCAGGCUCUCUGGUUCCAGAUGCUGUAGCGACACGCUGCCUCUCACAGACCAGCCUUGGUACUACAGCCGACAUCCUCUUACCAUUUAAAAAUCGGUUAACCUCUUGAAAGUCGGUGUCUGUGUACCUUGGUUGAAAGGCAGACGACGCCCUGUACUUAUCUGAUCAUCUCUUCACAGGGCGAUUGGGAAAACUGCCUUGAGUGGGCAUUAUGCCAGCUGCAUAAUAUAAUCAGCUAUGGGAACCACUACACUACUUAUAGCGUAGAUGGUCAACAUUGGAUGGCCUGCAACAAUAUUCUGAUAUGAGAAAAAUAAAUAAAUAAAUAUUA